rnacentral:rRNA from 1 species
GCGGCGAACGGGUGAGUAACACGUGGGUAACCUGCCCCGUACUUUGGGAUAAGCCUGGGAAACUGGGUCUAAUACCGGAUAUGACUGCAUCCUGCAUGGGGUGUGGUGGAAAGUUCUGGCGGUACGGGAUGGGCCCGCGGCCUAUCAGCUUGUUGGUGGGGUGAUGGCCUACCAAGGCGACGACGGGUAGCCGGCCUGAGAGGGCGACCGGCCACACUGGGACUGAGACACGGCCCAGACUCCUACGGGAGGCAGCAGUGGGGAAUCUUGCGCAAUGGGCGGAAGCCUGACGCAGCGACGCCGCGUGAGGGAUGACGGCCUUCGGGUUGUAAACCUCUUUCGACCGGGACGAAGCGAGAGUGACGGUACCGGUAGAAGAAGCACCGGCUAACUACGUGC